UGAAAACAAAACGUAAGUUGCUCUGGAUAAGAGCGUCUGCUAAAUGACUAAAA
rfam:Salmo salar isolate Sally breed double haploid chromosome ssa05, whole genome shotgun sequence.